AGGUGAAGGCCACAGACAAGUCCAAGAUCUUUCCCUCAGUGAACAGACUCCCUGUGUCGCAAGAAAGUCUCCUUUGAUGAGUCUUGCAUAGCAGUUGAUUAAAACUGUUAAAUGAAGCGUUUAAUGUGAAUUUAAAGUCACGUGUCAACUCAUUUUCAUCAUUUCUCAAGUUUGCAUUUCAGACACACAGUGAAGCAUUGAAGAGGUCUAAUGUCUGAUUUCAGUUCAGUGAGGAUGAUUCCCAAAGACAGUAUCUCCCCCAUUAUCUUCUGCCUUCAGCUCAUGCAAGAUAAAAUAG